rnacentral:rRNA from 1 species
AUGGACAGCACGACGACCUUCUUCGCCUGGUGGUCUCUUGCUGCCGAAACUUCGUCGAGCGGCCUGCGUAAAGGACUCAACUCCAUCGUCGCAUUGACUGCUUGGGCCAUCUGGAAGCAUCGCAACGCCGACAACUUCGACGGCCUCCGCCCCUCCACCGACGAUCUCGUGCUAUCCAUCCAAGAAGAUGCUCGCCUCUGGGCCAAGGCCGGUGCCAAGGGUUUAGCAGCAAUCAUUCAUGUAACAUGA